AGGGCCUUAAGUUAAUCUUAGACUGCGGGCCUUCAAAGCCUGAUGUGCUUAAUGGUGGGCAGGCCCUG
rnacentral:tRNA from 1 species